ensembl:lncRNA
GUCACAGCUGUUCCACCUUUGAAAAUCAUGUGUCCCAGUAUUCAGCCUGCUCAGCAUAAUCUCCUGUCUUUCCAGCUCUCACCUCCCAUACCUCCAGUCUCCACCUAGCCUUUGAUCCAGUCUCUGAACUGCUCUGAUUUCUCUUGUAUCUCAUUCACCCUGUGAAGGGCUUCACUUCCUUCCAUAUAUUCAGCCUAGUCCACUUAGCACAUUAUGUUAAUCAUGUCCUCAUCAUCCCUCUCUGCCCUUUCCCCUUAUUUGGAUGCACUUGCCAUGCAAACACCCAACAACUAAUCAAGCCAACCAUCUGACAACUCCACUCUCACCUUCUGUGAUAUAUACAUUCACAGCAUCUGAUUUGGCUUUGGAGUCACAAAGGCAAUCAAUACCAUCCUAAUUAUUUGCCAACAGUAUGUUGCAUACUCUUGCCUGGAAAAUCCCAUGGAUGGGGAAGCUUGGUAGGUUGCAGUCCAUGGGGUCGCUGAGAGUCAGACACGACUGAGCGACUUCACUUUUACUUUUCACUUUCAUGCAUUGGAGAAGGAAAUGGCAACCCACUCUAAUGUUCUUGCCUGGAGAAUCCCAGGGACGGGGUAGCCUGGUGGGCUGCUGUCUAUGGGGUUGCACAGAGUCGGACAUGACUGAAGUGACUUAGCAGCAGCAGUAGCAGCAGCAGUAUGUUGCAUGAGCCACAAAAAAAUAUAUCCUGUCUAGCUGACUCAUUAGAGAAGAACCUGAUGCUGGGAAAGAUUGAAGGCCAGAGGAGAAGAGGACAACAGAGGAUGAGAUGGCUGGAUGGCAUCACGGACUCAGCGGACAAAGGUUUGAGCAAGCUCUGGGAGAUGGUGAAGGACAGGGAAGCCUGGUGGGCUGUAGUCCAUGGAGCUGCAAAGAGUCGGACACGACUGAGUGACUGAACAAGAUCAACAACCUGAAGAUCACUCACUUAAGUGAUUGAGUUUACUUGCUUCCUUGAGACCUAGGUAAUAGUGUUGUAGACUCAAGAGGCACCAGCCUCUCAUGUUGGAACCAGACAGGAAAAAAAAUCAGGUACAAUUAAGGAAUUGAAAAUGGCCUACAUGUUUCAGAAACUAAUUCAGUGGCUUCUACUUUGGUUUCUCCCAAGAGAAUAGGAAAGGAUGACUCCCCUACUUUGGGCUCCAUCCAUUUCUCAACAAGCUGCCCUACCAUCUCCACCUCCUCCUACUCUUACAUUUACAGUCACUCUGUUCUGCACCUUCUGAAGAGCAAAUGUGCCAGUGAUCACUCCUCACAAUAAUCCUAGGUGAGAACCUAGGAAACGAUCAAAGACAAGCUAUUGAAAAAAAGCAUUUGGCCCUUGUGCCUUGAGCGUAAAAGCAACUAGUCAAUAAAAGAAGGCACAGGUGGAAAGAAUCUGGAUUCUGGGACUCAUCCUGCACAUAUGUGACUCUGGAACACUUAUUUUAUUAAUAGCUCCCUGAACUUUAGUCUCUCCUUUUCAGCAUGGGAAGAGAAUAUUUUGCUUGUAGGACUUAGGUCAGACUUUUUCCUUGAAAUACCUUUGAGAGAUAUGAUAAGGUGUAAAUAACAGAAUAUCAUUCAUAUUUAAUGACAUCAACAGCUCUAGUAACAUUUCCACCUGCCAAAAAAAAAAAAAAAAGAAGAAGUCUUUUUUUCCCUUAUAUCCUAAGUACCGCCUUACACAAGUUGAUCUAUCUUAUGAAUUUUCUAAAAACUGAAUGGGAUUCAAAUUUGCCAACUCACUCUCACCAUAUCCAUUAAAUUCUCCCUGCUUUCACCUUAUUUUGAAAUAUUUUCCAAGACAAAGAUAGAUGGUGGUAACUACUUUGGAGGUUCGGUAAUUGGUAAGAAAAAAUAUCAGAGGACAUCAAACAAACUAUGCAACCUUCAAAUGAAGUGUUCUUAAUAGUUAAGAAGGCUUGACUGCAGACUCACCCCAUAGAUUCUCCAUGUUAUCAGAGCCAGCAACAUAUGGGCAGUGGACGAUUUCUGCCUACACUUCACAAGCAGCUUCCCGCAUAAAUCCCCAAAGUUAAUCAUGACAAAAAGCAGUCUUGUCUGUUCCCCUGAACAGCCUGAAGCAAUUUGUUCAGCAACCACACUGCUAAGGUAGCGAUAAAGGAAAGGAGCACUGGGGGCAACUAAAAAAGAUCAAAAAUGUGGAAGAAUGUGUACAGAAUUAAGGCAACCAUAGGAAGGCGUGCCUGCUCAUGGAUCAUUUUAUCUCCUUACUCUGGAAAUAGAUGGCCAAUUACAAAGGAGAACUAAGAAUCGCCAGUUUAGAAAAAAACACAUCUUGAUUCAUUCCACUGUGUUUAGUAAUUUCUGACUCCAAAUGUACACUUAAGAAAUGGUGAAAAAAGUUGUUUAAAAAAGCAGAACACGCAAGCAUCAUCUUCAGGAGAGCAAGCUGCAUUGAAAUUAAAAAGGAAGAGAAAGGUCAGGGGUCAGGAGUUCCAGACAUACUCCUUAUUCUCAUUAUUUGGCAGCAACCAACUUCCCCUUAAUAAUCAGGGACAUUUACCCCAUCCAGCACAGUAAUCCCCUUCUUUGGGUCAAUGUUGUUAGAUGGUCAAAGUGGUCAGGUAAUAGCCUUAUUUUCCAAUUCAAUGAAAUUAUCUCCUUCAGUGGAAGCUUUCCUCCCUUUAUGAUUGCAGACUCUAGCAAGCAGAGCCCAAAGUUCAAUCCCAUGACUC